GCCUUUUUAGCUCAGUGGUGGAGCAUUGUAUUUGUAAUACAAUGGUCGUUGGUUCAAAUCCAACAAAAGGCU
rnacentral:tRNA from 1 species